GGACGAACGCUGGCGGCGUGCCUAAUACAUGCAAGUCGAGCGAAUGGAUGGGAGCUUGCUCCCUGAAGUUAGCGGCGGACGGGUGAGUAACACGUGGGCAACCUGCCUGUAAGACUGGGAUAACUCGCGGAAACGUGAGCUAAUACCGGAUAAUUUCUUUCUUCACAUGGAGAARGGUUGAAAGACGGUUAUGCUGUCACUUACAGAUGGGCCCGCGGCGCAUUAGCUAGUUGGUGAGGUAACGGCUCACCAAGGCGACGAUGCGUAGCCGACCUGAGAGGGUGAUCGGCCACACUGGGACUGAGACACGGCCCAGACUCCUACGGGAGGCAGCAGUAGGGAAUCUUCCGCAAUGGACGAAAGUCUGACGGAGCAACGCCGCGUGAGUGAAGAAGGUUUUCGGAUCGUAAAACUCUGUUAUCAGGGAAGAACAAGUACCGUUUAACUGACGGUACCUUGACGGUACCUGACCAGAAAGCCACGGCUAACUA
rnacentral:rRNA from 1 species